AUAUCAUGAUGAGGACAUUUUCUCAACAGAACCUUAAACCGUUCCCAAGAUUCAUAUAAAGAUUUCCCAUCUAAAUAAUAGAAGUUAUUCAUCUCCCUCCUAAAUUU